rnacentral:ncRNA from 1 species
UGCAUAUCGAACAUUAAGAGUGCCCGGAGUGUUUACGUCCGGGAUAAUAGGGAAAUCGGUGUGAAUCCGAUGCAGCCCCCGCUACUGUAAGCGCGAUGAAAUCAUCCAAUAACCACUGGCCUAAGAACCGGGAAGGGGAUGAAAGUAAAGUGAUACGCAAGCCAGGAGACCUGCUUUUAAUGCCUGAACAUC